AGGAUGAAAGGAGGCAAGGCGAUGGGCCCUGAUUGUAUCCCCAUUGAGGUGUGGAAAGGUCUCGGGGACAUAGCGAUAGUAUGGCUAACCAAACUUUUCAACCUUAUUUUUCAGGCAAACAAGAUGCCAGAAGAAUGGAGACCGAGUAUAUUAGUACCAAUCUUCAAGAACAAGGGGGAUGUUCAGAGUUGUACUAAUUAUCGUGGAAUUAAGCUGAUGAGCCAUACAAUAAAGCUAUGGGAGAGAGUCAUUGAGCACCGCUUAAGAAGAAUGACAAGCGUGACCAAAAAUCAGUUUGGUUUCAUGCCUGGGAGGUCGACCAUGGAAGCC
rnacentral:rRNA from 1 species